UCGGACGUGGUGCACGGUGCGCGCCCGCUUUAUCUACAAAAUGAGUCACGAAUGGACGCAGCGGGAACCCCGGGUUCGACUCCCGGCGUCCGAA